CGUAGGUGACCUGCGGAGGAUCAUUACAGUAGUCGCCCGGGUUGCCGCAAGGCCUCUCGGGUAACCUACCACCCUUUGUUUAUUACACUUUGUUGCUUUGGCAGGCCUGCCUCCGGGCUGCUGGCUCCGGCCGGCGAGCGCUUGCCAGAGGACCUAAACUCUGUUUGUCUAUACUGUCUGAGUACUAUAUAAUAGUUAAAACUUUCAACAACGGAUCUCUUGGUUCUGGCAUCGAUGAAGAACGCAGCGAAAUGCGAUAAGUAAUGUGAAUUGCAGAAUUCAGUGAAUCAUCGAAUCUUUGAACGCACAUUGCGCCCCCUGGUAUUCCGGGGGGCAUGCCUGUCCGAGCGUCAUUACAACCCUCAAGCUCAGCUUGGUGUUGGGCCCCGCCGCCCCGGCGGGCCCUAAAGUCAGUGGCGGUGCCAUCCGGCUCCGAGCGUAGUAAUUCUUCUCGCUCUGGAGGUCCGGUUGUGUGCUUGCCAUCAACCCCCAAUUUUUUUCAGGUUGACCUCGGAUCAGGUAGGGAUACCCGCUGAACUUAAGCAUAUCAUA
rnacentral:rRNA from 1 species